CCCCCUGUUUGUAAUCUGAUACAGUAGACUGCAGUUGUCUGAGCCUGAACCUCCCCAGUCUUGGCACAGCUCGCUUCUAAGUUUAGAAACGGCCCAUCGUUCCCGAAGCCCGUGGGUCCGGAAGACACAGUUGAUAAGACCCAGCCUUUGGAGGGUCCGCUUGGGAAUUUCCCACUUUGUGUCCUGAGACUAGGAGCCCAGUGGUGGGGACUUUGUGAUCGCUGGUGAGACGAACGCGGUUCCCUGCACGGAGCUGGGCGUGAGCACCUGUGUAACCGAUCUGAACAACACGUGCUGUCACAUUCCUUCUCCAGACCUCACAGCAAAACAAGUUCCAGAUGGACUAAAGGUCUGAUGCUACAAAAUAAAUCUCUAAACCUAUAAAAAUGCUGGAAGACUUCGCAGGGACUUUUUCCAGAGAGGAGAGUGG
rnacentral:lncRNA from 1 species